UUUGAUCCUGGCUCAGAACGAACGCUGGCGGCAUGCCUAACACAUGCAAGUCGAACGAUAAGCCACUUCGGUGGUGGACAGUGGCGCACGGGUGAGUAACACGUGGGGACCUGCCUGAUAGUAAGGGACAACAGUUUGAAAAGACUGCUAAUACCUUAUACGCCCUUUUGGGGAAAGAUUUAUCGCUAUCAGAUGGACCCGCGCUAGAUUAGAUAGUUGGUGAGGUAAUGGCUCACCAAGUCUACGAUCUAUAGCUGGUUUGAGAAGAUGAUCAGCCACAUUGGGACUGAGACACGGCCCAAACUCCUACGGGAGGCAGCAGUGGGGAAUAUUGUACAAUGGACGCAAGUCUGAUACAGCAAUGCCGCGUGAGUGAAGAAGGCCUUAGGGUUGUAAAACUCUUUCGCUAGGGAAGAUAAUGACGGUACCUAGUAAAGAAGUCCCGGCUAACUCCGUGCCAGCAGCCGCGGUAAUAAGGG
rnacentral:rRNA from 1 species